rnacentral:tRNA from 1 species
CAAAUUAUAGCUUAUAAAGCAUCUUAUUUACAUUAAGAAGAUAUUUUUUUUAAUUGAUUUGA